GUGGUGGAGAGCAGCUUAAGCUCAGUGGUGAAGCUUCAACAGCUGUUAAUUGUGGUUGGUUUAAGGGAAGUACAAUAUGAACAUUGGCAGGUUGGUCAACUCUCUCCAGGUUGCUUCAAAGUUCAUGCAUUUAUGUGCCGAUGUGGUUAAAUUCUAUGGGGUUCAACAUCUUGGAAGUAUGCAUACUUGUGCAUACAUCAGUGGAUGAAGAAGCUGGGUGUUGAGUGGGAAGCUCCUGUUGCAGUAAUUGAUAGAUAGCUUUACAGUCCUUUGUGGGGCUGCAGAACUGUUGGUCAACUCUUUGAUGCUAUAGAGAUAACAUCUAAUCAUCAAUUUUCAUUCUUGAUUCUAGUUCUCAUAGGAUUGUUCAUUCUUUGCUUCUUCACAUUACUUUAGAUCUUCCGUUUGUCAGAGAUAUUGUAUAUAUCUUAGACUCUACCAGAUUAGAUAGCUGCAACUUGGAUUUCUGUUUUAUUCUGUUACCAAACUCUUAGCCCUUCCAUUCAAUCUUGCAUCCUAACCAUCUCUAUCUCCUUGUAGUAUAUCAGAGUCUGCCUAAAUUGGCUGGUCGUCACCCCGUUACCUGUAUUCUUGUCAUUUUUACUUCUUUACUUUGAAUAGGAUCUAAUUCCUACUUCUUCCCCUUGACCAUUUUUCUGUUUUUUGGAAUGAAAAUUGGUAAGGGGAAUUAAUAGUUAGUUCUAUCCUUUCACCUCCUGGUCUUUGGUAUCUUCUCUUUUAGCUUUCCUCUUGUGAGUCCAAUUAUGCAUGUUAAGUGGUUUAUUCCGCCUUCUCUCAGCUAAAUUCCAUUUGCUCUGGAGAUUGAUGAUCACCUAGCUAUUCAUAAGUGCUUUUCUGUUUGAGCUGUUGGAAGAAGAUAGUUGAAGAGGCUCCUCAUCAUUGUUGAAGAUGAUCUCCUCCAUGCUUUCUCGGUGGUAGCAUUACUGGUUAUGUUUCGUUUAAUUUUUUUUAUUGGACACUUCGGUCUAUAGUUGCUUUCUUUCGACAAAACUGGUACUGUGCAGUAAUCUAGUUAUAUCAUGUUUUAGGUUUUGGAGCUUUUACUUUUGUCGUUGUACUAAGCAAUGCCGUCUUGCUUUUAAUCUAGCAGUUCGAUAAAGACUAGUUUAAUUUCUUUUGCCACAUUCGUUUGCCUUCCUAAGUGUAUGCCGCUGCUGCGACAUACUAAUAUUUUACUUGGCUCUCCUCUUUUGGAGUCGGAAUUUUUUAAUAACUUGACCGAUUUUCCUGUA